rnacentral:rRNA from 1 species
GACGAACGCUGGCGGCGUGCUUAACACAUGCAAGUCGAACGAUGAACCCGGAGCUUGCUCCGGUGGAUUAGUGGCGAACGGGUGAGUAACACGUGAGUAACCUGCCCUUGACUCUGGGAUAACUGCGGGAAACUGGGGCUAAUACCGGAUAACAUUUUGAACCGCAUGGUUCGAAAUUGAAAGGCGGCUUCGGCUGUCACUUAUGGAUGGACCCGCGUCGCAUUAGCUAGUUGGUGAGGUAACGGCUCACCAAGGCAACGAUGCGUAGCCGACCUGAGAGGGUGAUCGGCCACACUGGGACUGAGAUACGGCCCAGACUCCUACGGGAGGCAGCAGUGGGGAAUAUUGCACAAUGGGCGCAAGCCUGAUGCAGCGACGCCGCGUGAGGGAUGACGGCCUUCGGGUUGUAAACCUCUUUCAGCAUCGACGAAGCGAAAGUGACGGUAGGUGCAGAAGAAGGACCGGCCAACUACGUGCCAGCAGCCGCCGUAA